rnacentral:rRNA from 1 species
GGAAUAUUGCACAAUGGGGGAAACCCUGAUGCAGCGACGCCGCGUGAGUGAUGAAGUAUUUCGGUACGUAAAGCUCUAUCAGCAGGGAAGAAGACGACGGUACCUGACUAAGAAGCCCCGGCUAACUACGUGCCAGCAGCCGCGGUAAUACGUAGGGGGCAAGCGUUAUCCGGAUUUACUGGGUGUAAAGGGAGCGUAGACGGCAGCGCAAGUCUGAAGUGAAAUGCCGGGGCUCAACCCCGGAAUUGCUUUGGAAACUGUGCAGCUAGAGUAUCGGAGGGGUAAGCGGAAUUCCUAGUGUAGCGGUGAAAUGCGUAGAUAUUAGGAGGAACACCGGUGGCGAAGGCGGCUUACUGGACGAUAACUGACGUUGAGGCUCGAAAGCGUGGGGAGCAAACA